AGCGGCGAACGGGUGAGUAACGCAUCGGAACGUAUCCUGUAGUGGGGAAUAACUCACCGAAAGGUGAGCUAAUACCGCAUAAGCUCUGAGGAGGAAAGCGGGGGACCGAAAGGCCUCGCGCUGCAGGAGCGGCCGAUGUCCGAUUAGCUAGUUGGUGAGGUAAAAGGCUCACCAAGGCGACGAUCGGUAGCUGGUCUGAGAGGAUGAUCAGCCACACUGGGACUGAGACACGGCCCAGACUCCUACGGGAGGCAGCAGUGGGGAAUUUUGGACAAUGGGGGAAACCCUGAUCCAGCCAUGCCGCGUGAGUGAAGAAGGCCUUCGGGUUGUAAAGCUCUUUCGGACGGAACGAAAUUGCUUGGACUAAUACUCUGAGUAGAUGACGGUACCGUAAGAAGAAGCACCGGCUAACUACGUGCCAGCAGCCGCGGUAAUACGUAGGGUGCGAGCGUUAAUCGGAAUUACUGGGCGUAAAGCGUGCGCAGGCGGUUGCCUAAGCCAGGCGUGAAAUCCCCGGGCUUAACCUG
rnacentral:rRNA from 1 species